rnacentral:rRNA from 1 species
UACGGGGGGGGCAAGCGUUGUUCGGAAUUACUGGGCGUAAAGGGCCAGUAGGCGGCCAACUAAGUCCGACGUGAAAUCCCCAGGCUUAACCUGGGAACUGCGUCGGAUACUGGAUGGCUUGAAUUCGGGGGAGGGAUGCAGAAUUCCAGGUGUAGCGGUGAAAUGCGUAGAUAUCUGGAGGAACACCGGUGGCGAAGGCGGCAUCCUGGACCGAUACUGACGCUGAGGAGCGAAAGCCAGGGGAGCAAACGGG